GGCUUGUUGAAAAUAAUUUUAAGUCUGGCCUGCCCAAUGAGUUAUUUAAUGGCUGCGGUAUAUUGACCGUACAAAGGUAGCAUAAUCAUUAGUUUUUUAAUUGAAAGCUUGUAUGAAAGGUUUGAUGAAAAAAAUACUGUCUCUAUAAAAAUUAAUUAGAAUUUUAUUUUUAAGUGAAAAAGCUUAAAUAUAUAUAGAAGACGAGAAGACCCUAUAGAGUUUUAUAUUUAAGAAAUAAAAAAGUUUUUUAGAAUUAAAAAUUUGUUAUAUUGGAAAAUAUUUUGUUGGGGUGAUAGAAAAAUUUAUUAAACUUUUUUUUUAUUUAAACACUAAUUUGUGAAAUGUUGAUCCUAAAGUUUAGAUUAAAAGAUUAAAUUACCUUAGGGAUAACAGCGUUAUUUUUUCUAGAGUUCUUAUCGAAGAUAAAGUUUGCGACCUCGAUGUUGGAUUAAAAUUAAUUACUGGUGUAGAAGCUAGGGGAUUGGGUCUGUUCGACCUUUAAAAUUUUACAUGAUCUGAGUUUAAACCGGUGUGAG
rnacentral:rRNA from 1 species